rnacentral:rRNA from 1 species
UUCUAACCUUGGUCCUUUGAUCAGGAUCGGGAACAGUGCCAGGUGGGUAGUUUGACUGGGGCGGUCGCCUCCAAAAAGGUAACGGAGGCGCCCAAUGGUUCCCUCAGCGCGGUCGGUAAUCGCGCGUAGAGUGUAAAGGCAUACAGGGAGCUUGACUGCGAGACCUACAAGUCGAGCAGGUGCGAAAGCAGGGCUUAGUGAUCCGACGGUUGCGCGUGGAAGCGCCGAAGCUCAACGGAUAAAAGGUACUCCGGGGAUAACAGGCUUAUUGCCCCCAAGCGCUCAUAGCGACGGGGCAGUUUGGCACCUCGAUGUCGGCUCAGCGUAUCCUGGGGCUGGAGAAGGUCCCAAGGGUUUGGCUGUUCGCCAAUUAAAACGCUACGCGAGCUGGGUUCAGAACGUCGUGAGACAGUUCGGUCCCUAUCCGCCGUGGGUGUAGGAUAUUUGAGGAGAUCUGACCCUAGUACGAGAGGACCGGGUUGGACGAACCUCUGGUCAACCAGUUGUUCCGCCAGGAGCAUCGCUGGGUAGCUACGUUCGGAAGGGAUAAACGCUGAAAGCAUCUAAGCGUCAAGCCCACUCCAAGACUAGAUAUCCCGUAGGGUUAACCUACCUGAAGGCCCCUCGUAGACUACGAGGUUGAUAGGUUGCAGGUGGAAGCGCAGCAAUGUGUGGAGCCGAGCAAUACUAAUUGGCCGUGAGGCUUGACCAUUUAU